GUGCUCGCUUCGGCAGCACAUAUAGUAAAAUUGGAACGAUACAGAGAAGAUUAGCAUGGCCCCUGUGCAAGGAUGACAUGCAAAUUCGUGAAGUGUUCCAUAUAUUU
rnacentral:snRNA from 1 species